rnacentral:rRNA from 1 species
AUUGAACGCUGGCGGCAUGCUUUACACAUGCAAGUCGAACGGUUACAGGCCUUUGUUUGCUGACUAGUGGCGAACGGGACAGUAAUGCAACGGGACGUACCCAUGGGUGGGGGUUAACGCAGCCAGAGCUGUGGUAAUACUGCUUGGGAGUGUACUAUGUGAGCCGGGUGCCGUGGAGCAAUGUUUGUCCUUUCUGCUUUGUUUCGGUGGAUGUCGGGUUAGCUAGUUGGUGGGGUAAAGGCCUACCCAUGCGAUGAUCCGUAGCUGGUCUGAGAGGACGACCAGCCACACUGAGACUGAGACACGGCCCAGACUGCUACGGGAGGCAGCAGUGGGGAAUUUUGGACAAUGGGCGGGAGCCUGAUCCAGCAAGGCCGCGUGCGGGAAGAAGGCCUUCGGGUUGUAAACCGCUUUUGGCAGGAACGAAACGGUGUCCGCUAAUACCGGGCGCUAAUGACGGUACCUGCAGAAUAAGCGCCGGCUAACUACGGGC